AACCCAUGUGAACAUACCUACUGUUGCUUCGGCGGGAUUGCCCCGGGCGCCUCGUGUGCCCCGGAUCAGGCGCCCGCCUAGGAAACUUAAUUCUUGUUUUAUUUUGGAAUCUUCUGAGUAGUUUUUACAAAUAAAUAAAAACUUUCAACAACGGAUCUCUUGGUUCUGGCAUCGAUGAAGAACGCAGCGAAAUGCGAUAAGUAAUGUGAAUUGCAGAAUUCAGUGAAUCAUCGAAUCUUUGAACGCACAUUGCGCCCGCCAGUAUUCUGGCGGGCAUGCCUGUCUGAGCGUCAUUUCAACCCUCAUGCCCCUAGGGCGUGGUGUUGGGGAUCGGCCAAAGCCCGCGAGGGACGGCCGGCCCCUAAAUCUAGUGGCGGACCCGUCGUGGCCUCCUCUGCGAAGUAGUGAUAUUCCGCAUCGGAGAGCGACGAGCCCCUGCCGUUAAACCCCCAACUUUCCAAGGUUGACCUCAGAUCAGGUAGGAAUACCCGCUGAACUUAAGCAUAUCAA
rnacentral:rRNA from 1 species